rnacentral:rRNA from 1 species
AUUGAACGCUGGCGGCAUGCCUUACACAUGCAAGUCGAACGGCAGCGCGGGAGCAAUCCUGGCGGCGAGUGGCGAACGGGUGAGUAAUACAUCGGAACGUGCCCAAUCGUGGGGGAUAACGCAGCGAAAGCUGUGCUAAUACCGCAUACGAUCUACGGAUGAAAGCAGGGGAUCGCAAGACCUUGCGCGAAUGGAGCGGCCGAUGGCAGAUUAGGUAGUUGGUGAGGUAAAGGCUCACCAAGCCUUCGAUCUGUAGCUGGUCUGAGAGGACGACCAGCCACACGGGAACUGAGACACGGCCCAGACUCCUACGGGAGGCAGCAGUGGGGAAUUUUGGACAAUGGGCGAAAGCCUGAUCCAGCCAUGCCGCGUGCAGGAUGAAGGCCUUCGGGUUGUAAACUGCUUUUGUACGGAACGAAACGGUCUUUUCUAAUAAAGAAGGCUAAUGACGGUACCGGAAGAAUAAGCACCGGCUAACUACGUG